rnacentral:rRNA from 1 species
GACGAACGCUGGCGGCGUGCUUAACACAUGCAAGUCGAACGAUGAAGCCGGAGCUUGCUCUGGUGAAUUAGUGGCGAACGGGUGAGUAACACGUGAGUAACCUGCUCUUGACUCUGGGAUAACUGCGGGAAACUGUAGCUAAUACCGGAUACGACCCUCGGAGGCAUCUCCUGGGGGUGGAAAGAAUUUCGGUCAAGGAUGGACUCGCGGCCUAUCAGCUAGUUGGUGGGGUAAAGGCUCACCAAGGCGACGACGGGUAGCCGGCCUGAGAGGGUGACCGGCCACACUGGGACUGAGACACGGCCCAGACUCCGACGGGAGGCAGCAGUGGGGAAUAUUGCACAAUGGGCGCAAGCCUGAUGCAGCAACGCCGCGUGAGGGAUGACGGCCUUCGGGUUGUAAACCUCUUUUAGCAGGGAAGAAGCGAAAGUGGCGGUACCUGCAGAAAAAGCACCGGCUAACUACGUGCCAGCAGCCGCGGUAA